rnacentral:rRNA from 1 species
UGGAUCUCAAAUCAGACAAGGCGACCCGCUGAACUUAAGC